rnacentral:lncRNA from 1 species
GAUAAAAAACCUAGAAACCUAAAACUUAUGGAUAAUAUUCUUGAAGAAUUUUUGUUUGGGGACGAAAUUAGCAAAUGCCGUUAUACAUUUAGCAGAUGUACCUGCCUCACAAUUAUUCCAGAAGGAUGAGAUGAAAUUAAAUAUAUAUAAACCAUAAUUCAAUAUCCAAUUUAGAGAACAUUUUCGUAUGUCCAGAACUACUUUCCAGGAACUAUUUAAUUGUAUUGGUCAUAUCCACCAAUUUGAAAACAGAAUAAUUCUAUUGGAAAAAAUUAAUGUUUAUGAUGUGGAUGCUAAGUAAACCAGAGAAUUUGUUGCUGGGGAUACGUUUGGUUUGCCAAAGAGCUCUGGACAUAAGAUUUUCACCCAAAUAAUAUAGAAUUACAAAAAAUUGGAAAUAACUAAUCUUGAAUAUCAAUGUGUAUAUUGAGUUUAAUUUUAUUGUAAAUAUUCUAUAAUAUAAUUUUAUUGUAAAUAUUGUAUUAACACAUUUGUGGACACAUUUUCAUAUGCAGACAGUAAUUUCCCUUUGUAAGUACAUGCAUAUUAGUCGUAUCUGCGAAUGGGUUAAUUGUAAAUCGUAAUCAAUAAAAAAUUUUUGUGAAUCAAUAAAAAACUGGUUUGUUUGAAAAUAAAUGUAGUACAAAUGUG